rnacentral:rRNA from 1 species
UACGUAGGGUGCAAGCGUUAAUCGGAAUUACUGGGCGUAAAGCGUGCGCAGGCGGUUUUGUAAGUCUGUCGUGAAAUCCCCCCGGCUCAACCGGGGAAUAGCGUCGGAUACUGGCGAGCUCGAGGUCGAUAGGGGUAAGUGGAACUCCAGGUGGAGCGGUGAAAUGCGUAGAUAUCUGGAGGAACACCGGUGGCGAAAGCGGCUUACUGGAUCGAAUCUGACGCUGAGGUGUGAAAGCUAGGGGUAGCAAACGGG